rnacentral:rRNA from 1 species
UUUUCCCUACGGGACGCAGCAGUAGGGGAUCUUCCACAAUGGGCGAAAGCCUGAUGGAGCAACGCCGCGUGGGUGAAGAAGGUCUUCGGAUCGUAAAACCCUGUUGUUAGAGAAGAAAGUGCGUGAGAGCAACUGUUCACGUUUCGACGGUAUCUAACCAGAAAGCCACGGCUAACUACGUGCCAGCAGCCGCGGUAAUACGUAGGUGGCAAGCGUUAUCCGGAUUUAUUGGGCGUAAAGGGAACGCAGGCGGUCUUUUAAGUCUGAUGUGAAA